GAUGAACGCUGGCGGCGUGCCUAAUACAUGCAAGUCGAGCGAACAGACGAGGAGCUUGCUCCUCUGACGUUAGCGGCGGACGGGUGAGUAACACGUGGAUAACCUACCUAUAAGACUGGGAUAACUUCGGGAAACCGGAGCUAAUACCGGAUAAUAUAUUGAACCGCAUGGUUCAAUAGUUAAAGACGGUUUUGCUGUCACUUAUAGAUGGAUCCGCGCCGCAUUAGCGAGUUGGUAAGGUAACGGCUUACCAAGGCAACGAUGCGUAUCCGACCUGAGAGGGUGAUCGGCCACACUGGAACUGAGACACGGUCCAGACUCCUACGGGAGGCAGCAGUAGGGAAUCUUCCGCAAAGGGCGAAAGCCUGACGGAGCAACGCCGCGUGAGUGAUGAAGGUCUUCGGAUCGUAAAACUCUGUUAUUAGGGAAGAAAAAAUGUGUAAGUAACUAUGCACGUCUUGACGGUACCUAAUCAGAAAGCCACGGCUAACUACGUG
rnacentral:rRNA from 1 species